ensembl:lncRNA
CCUGUCCUGCCCUCCAGGCUCCUGGACUUCCCAUGAACUCACACUGCUGAUUUCCGGCCUCACAAACGCUCCCUUCCCCAGACCAUGGGGCCAGGGCUAAGCCCACAGGAAGGCUGGGCCAUGUCCCCCGCACCCAGGUCCCUGAGGGGCUGAGGCCUGGGCCCCCCAAGGCAGAGGCAAAGGGGCCACAGCUGGGUCCCUGCCUCCCUGGGACGGAGCCAGCAGGCUGGGGCAGGAGUCAGCUGGAGCUCUAAGCCACCCCGGUCCUCUUGAGCGCUGUGGCUGCGUCCUAGGCACUGGCGUCCCAACUGGAGAGAAUCUGGAGUCAGCGCAGGCCUCAGUCCUCCCUCCUCACUCCCAGCUGGCCACCAGCUCAAGAGAAGCUUCUGUAACCCCAAGAACUGUCGCCUGCCCAGAGCAGGUGAGGAAAUGCUCUGAGUCAGGGCGUUUCAGGCUAGCUGUGAGGGCACAAAGGAAGCUGUUUCUCCGAGCUUGGCACUGAGGAGUCAUAGCCAUGCUGGUAAAUGAGUAUCCCACUGGACUUUAUUUCUCGGAGGAAAUGAAAGAAAACGUCACGAGGAUUGUGCCCAACGCUCAUUCACUUCUGGUCGCCGGGAAGCCUCUGGCUGCCCCUGCGCAGUGGAGCUGUUUGUGCCAAGCUGCAGACCGGCCCUGGACGCUGCCC